AAAUUCUAAAAGUUAACCAAGUUCUUCAUCCCAAAUAUUUCUCUCUCUAAAGUUUGAAGAAGAAGGUCAGGGUUCCAAGUCAAAGUCUCCAAUUUCAGCAUUGAUUUCAAUCUUUUGGAAUCAAGGGUUUGAUGCUUGGAUGUUGCAUCCCCAUUAGCUUGGUCAUUACAUUUCAUGAAAAGGUCCGACGUUUCGAUGUCGCAUCCCUGUGGCUAGAGAUCGUCUUAGUAGAUAUUAAAUAUUGGUGAAUCCUCAUGUUCCGAAGAUUGAACCUUUAUUUCAUAUUAUCUUUAAUUUUCAGUAUUGUAUGUGAUGUACGGAUUACGUCCCGUUCACUCUUUAUGUAUUAGAUGAUUUGAGACUAUGCUAGACUUUCACUACAUAUAAACUCUGAUGUUUUGAUAUCGUCUUUUAAACUCUCUUGAUUUUAUAAUUAUUUUAUAUGAUGUAUAUUAAGUGAUUUGUAUAGGACCUCUCGGGGUCUUAUACACCUAGUCACGUCUGGGGUGUACUUUGCGUCGUGACAGAUGCAUUGUAUUGUGUUACC